rnacentral:rRNA from 1 species
UUGCUGGCGACCGGCGCACGGGUGAGUAACACGUAUCCAACCUGCCGAUAACUCGGGGAUAGCCUUUCGAAAGAAAGAUUAAUACCCGAUGGCAUAAUUAGACCGCAUGGUCUUAUUAUUAAAGAAUUUCGGUUAUCGAUGGGGAUGCGUUCCAUUAGGCAGUUGGUGAGGUAACGGCUCACCAAACCUUCGAUGGAUAGGGGUUCUGAGAGGAAGGUCCCCCACAUUGGAACUGAGACACGGCCAA